rnacentral:rRNA from 1 species
AUUGAACGCUGGCGGCGUGCCUUACACAUGCAAGUCGAACGGUAACGGGCCUUCGGGUGCCGUCGGGUGGUGGACGGGUGCGUAAUACUACGGAACGUGCCCGAUCGUGGGGGGUAACGAGGCGCAAGCUUUGCUAAUACCGCAUACGAUCUACGAAUGAAAGCCGGGGAGCGCAAGGCCUUGCGACGACUGUGCGGCCAAUUGUAGAUUAGGUAGUUGGUGGGUUAAAAGCUUACCAAGCCGACGAUCUGUAGCGGGUCUGAGAGGAUGAUCAGCCACACUGGAACUGAGACACGGCCCAGACUCCUACGGGAGGCAGCAGUAGGGAAUUUUGGACAAUGGGCGCAAGCCUGAUCCAGCCAUGCCGCGUGCAGGAUGAAGGCCUUCGGGUUGUAAACUGCUUUUGUAAGGAACGAAAAGCCUUCUUUUAAUACAGGAGGGUCAUGACGGUACCGUAAGAAUAAGCACCGGCUAACUACGUG